rnacentral:tRNA from 16 species
UAUUUUUAAUUGACAUAGACCAAGUCCUCUAGUAAAAUGAGGAUGCUGCAUCGGGGAUAGCC